ensembl:misc_RNA Metazoa_SRP Metazoan signal recognition particle RNA
GCUGGGCGUGGUGGCGCGCGCCUGUAAUCCCAGUUUCUUGGGAGGCUGAGGCAGGAGAAUUGCUUGAACCCGGGAGGUGGAGGUUUCAGUGAGCCGAGAUUGUGCCACUGCACACCAGCCUGGGCAACAGAGCAAGACUCCGUCUCAA